UAUCCUCAUAAGUUCGACAAGAAGAGGAACCAUGAAUUUAGUAAGUUAAUAACUCCUAUUAAUUUAUUUAUAUGGUGGCACAAAAUCGGAAGCCCCGACUGUUUACUAAAAACACAACUAUCUGCAAUUAUGAAAAUAAUAGUAUAGGUAGUGAGAUUUGCCCAAUGCCAUUUUAAUAAGUAAUAAUAAUGGGUAACUGUUUCUUUACAAAAAAUUGGUUAAUAGCGGUCUUAACUAUGAGGAUCCUAAGGUAGCAAAAUAAAUUGGCCAUUAAAUGUGGUCCAGUAUCAAUAAUUUAACGAUGGCUUCACUGUCUCUACAACUUGCUCAGUGAAAUUGAAUUACCCGUGCAGAUGCGGGUUACCUCAAAGAGGACGGGAAGACCCUAUGC
rnacentral:rRNA from 1 species